rnacentral:rRNA from 1 species
GGUGAGGUAACGGCUCACCAAGCCUACGACGGGUAGCCGGCCUGAGAGGGUGACCGGCCACACUGGGACUGAGACACGGCCCAGACUCCUACGGGAGGCAGCAGUGGGGAAUAUUGCACAAUGGGCGCAAGCCUGAUGCAGCAACGCCGCGUGAGGGAUGACGGCCUUCGGGUUGUAAACCUCUUUUAGUAGGGAAGAAGCGAAAGUGACGGUACCUGCAGAAAAAGCACCGGCUAACUACGUGCCAGCAGCCGCGGUAAUACGUAGGGUGCGAGCGUUGUCCGGAAUUAUUGGGCGUAAAGAGCUCGUAGGCGGUCUGUCGCGUCUGCUGUGAAAACCCGAGGCUCAACCUCGGGCCUGCAGUGGGUACGGGCAGACUAGAGUGCGGUAGGGGAGAAUGGAAUUCCUGGUGUAGCGGUGGAAUGCGCAGAUAUCAGGAGGAACACCGAUGGCGAAGGCAGUUCUCUGGGCCGUAACUGACGCUGAGGAGCGAAAGCGUGGGGAGCGAACAGGAUUAGAUACCCUGGUAGUCCACGCCGUAAACGUUGGGCGCUAGAUGUGGGGACCAUUCCACGGUUUCCGUGUCGCAGCUAACGCAUUAAGCGCCCCGCCUGGGGAGUACGGCCGCAAGGCUAAAACUCAAAGGAAUUGACGGGGGCCCGCACAAGCGGCGGAGCAUGCGGAUUAAUUCGAUGCAACGCGAAGAACCUUACCAAGGCUUGACAUACACGAGAACGGGCCAGAAAUGGUCAACUCUUUGGACACUCGUGAACAGGUGGUGCAUGGUUGUCGUCAGCUCGUGUCGUGAGAUGUUGGGUUAAGUCCCGCAACGAGCGCAACCCUCGUUCUAUGUUGCCAGCGCGUAAUGGCGGGAACUCAUAGGAGACUGCCGGGGUCAACUCGGAGGAAGGUGGGGAUGACGUCAAAUCAUCAUGCCCCUUAUGUCUUGGGCUUCACGCAUGCUACAAUGGCCGGUACAAAGGGCUGCAAUACCGUAAGGUGGAGCGAAUCCCAAAAAGCCGGUCUCAGUUCGGAUUGAGGUCUGCAACUCGACCUCAUGAAGUCGGAGUCGCUAGUAAUCGCAGAUCAGCAACGCUGCGGUGAAUACGUUCCCGGGCCUUGUACACACCG